rnacentral:rRNA from 1 species
GAUGAACGCUGGCGGCGUGCCUAAUAAAUGCAAGUCGAGCGAACAGACGAGGAGCUUGCUCCUGUGUCGUUAGCGGCGGACGGGAGAGUAACACGUUGUCAACCUACCUAUAAGACUGGGAUAACUUCGGGAAACCGGAGCUAAUACCGGAUUAUCUAUUGAACUGUAUUGUUCAAUAGUGAAAGAAGGUUUAGCUGUCACUUAUAGAUGUAUCCGCGCCGCUUUAGCUACCUGGUAAGGUAACGGCUUACCAAGGCAACGAUGCGUAUCCGACCUGUGAGGGUGAUCGUCCACACUGGACCUGAGACGCGGUACAGACUCCUACGGGAGGCAGCAGUAGAGAAUCUUCCGCUGUGCGAGGAAGCCUGACGGGACAACGCCGCGUGAGGGAUGAAGGUCUUCGGAUCGUAAAACUCUGUUGUUAGUGAAGAGCAAGUAUGUAAGUAACUAUGCGCGUCUUGACGGUACCUAAUCAGAAAGCCACGGCUAACUACGUG